GACGAACCUGACGACCGUUAUUCGGAAUCACUGGGCUUAAAGGGUGCGUAGGCUGUGCAGAACGUUGGGUGUGAAAUCCCUCGGCUUAACCGAGGAACUGCGCUCAAAACUACUGUGCUUGAGUGAGAUAGAGGUGAGCGGAACUUAGGGUGGAGCGGUGAAAUGCGUUGAUAUCCUAAGGAACACCGGUGGCGAAAGCGGCUCACUGGGUCUCAACUGACGCUGAUGCACGAAAGCUAGGGUAGCGAACGGG
rnacentral:rRNA from 1 species